GUUCCUGCCUGAUGGUAAUCUAAGAGUACGUUCCUGAUCUUGAUUUUCUGGUAUUUGACUUUGGCUUUGUUUUGACUUCCCUGAAUUCUAGUAUCCUUGACUUUUGGCUUUCCCUCAUUGUUGUCUGAUUCUGUGUUCCUGACCUCGGCAAGUAUUUUGACUAGUCUUGGAGACGUUAAGUCCGGCCAUUAUAGGGUCCGGUUAUACGUUAUCCUUGGUGUCAC